rnacentral:lncRNA from 1 species
GAGGAGGGAUGAAUCGGCACCACCGCCACGGACUCCUCAAUCACCACCGUCAUGGUCGUUGCCUACAUCAGUUGACCUAGCAGAUCAUUCUCGCAAACACUCAUAUCUAACUCCUUUGUCCUCAAAUUUCAGUCCCAUGAGAUCUGGAAAACAUGAAGCAGGGUCCUUUCCUUCUUCCUCUUCUUCUGUGAGGUCGUCACGCUCCGCCGCCUCAGACUCCACGAUGUCACCGGAGAAGAGAUCCUCAAGUAGCCAUCGCUUGUUUGUAAUGCCAAUCUUCCACUAACCCAUUUUCUAUCAUUCUCUCCCUUGCUUCUUUUUUUUUUUUUUCUUUCUAAUUCUCAAUCCCAUCAUCAACGUACCCAAAUUUCUUCAAUUAGCCACAAUCUCAUCUAAUUUUUU